rnacentral:tRNA from 1 species
CGGGCGGCCGGGCAGCCCGGCCGGCUCGCUCAGGUCGAGCCGCGGCGAGAUCGCGGCCCGUCCGGCCAGC